CCGGUGCCCGGUUCCGGUGCCGCCGCUGUUCCGGUGCCGGUGCCGGUGACCGAUUCCGGUGCCGCCGCUGUUGCGGUGCCCGGUUCCGGUGCCCGGUUCCGAUGCCCGGUGCCGGUGACCGGUUCCGGUGCCGUCGCUGUUCCGGUGCCCGGUUCCGGUGCCCGGUUCCGGUGCCCAGUUCCGAUGCCCGGUGCCGGUGCCCGGUUCCGGUGCCCGGUUCCGGUGCCCGGUGCCGCCGCGGUUCCGGUGCCCGGCGCGGGCCCAGCCCGGUGCGCGGCGCUGUUGCACCGGAGUUGAGCGGGACGAGCGCGGCCGCCGGGAAAUGUCGCCGUGCUCUCCUCAGCAUUUCUAUCACUUAAGACCUCAAAAUAAAGGUGAGAGAAGAUAAAUGUGU
rnacentral:lncRNA from 1 species